UACGUGAGGGGGCAAGCGUUUGUCCGGAAUCAUUGGGCGUAAAGAGCGCGUAGGCGGCCCUGUAAGUCCGCUGUGAAAGUCAAGGGCUCAACCCUUGAAUGCCGGUGGAUACUGCAGGGCUAGAGUCCGGAAGAGGCGAGUGGAAUUCCUGGUGUAGCGGUGAAAUGCGCAGAUAUCAGGAGGAACACCGGAUAGGCGGAAGGCAGCUCGCUGGGCGGGUAAGCGA
rnacentral:rRNA from 1 species